UCACUCCAUUGGUCAGGCUGACAUCGAACC
rnacentral:piRNA from 1 species